rnacentral:rRNA from 1 species
AUUUAAGCAACGAUUUUUUAAUAAUACUUAUUUUAUUAAAACUACUGUGCUAGGAACGCUUUCAAGGAUAAGCUUAAAAGCGAUUUUUAAGACCAGCAUAAAAAUUUUAACUGUGUAGGCCUAAAAUUAGCUACCACAAAAGUUUGUUACAAAAUAGUUUCUUGUAAUACUAAAAGAUUAUUAUGCUUUUUGCCUAAACAUUAAAUGAGGAUAAAACCUAAAACUAUUAAGUUUUAUACCUAUGCUAGGAUGAGUAUCAUAAUUUUUUAUUUGCGUGGUAAAUAUUAUUCCCCGCUCUAUAAAUAAUUUAAUAAUAUUAAUUAAAUAAAAGGAAUUCGGCAAAUACUUGCUCUGCCUGUUUAUCAAAAACAUGGCUCCUUGAUUAAAAAAAAAAUAAGGAGUCGGACCUGCCCAGUGAAUUUCUUUUAACGGCCGCGGUACUCUGACCGUGCAAAGGUAGCGUAAUCAUUUGCCUUAUAAUUGAAGGCUAGUAUGAAUGGUUUGACAUGAGCAAUUCUGUCUCUUUUUUAUUUUUUAAAAAUUAACUUUUAGGUGAAGAGGCCUAAAUAAAAUUAAAGGACAAGAAGACCCUGUCGAGCUUAAAAGACAAAAUAGGAAUUAAUAUCUAAGAAAUACACUUCUAUUAAGCUUUUUAGUUGGGGCGACUAAGGAACAAACAAAGCUUCUUUCAAAAAAUCACGCUAAUCAGCAAAGAUCCAGCAUCACUGAUCAAGAAAAUUAGUUACCGCAGGGAUAACAGCAUAAUCUCUCUUGAGAGACCAAAUCGAAAGGGGGGGUUGUGACCUCGAUGUUGGACUAGAAUAUCCGAAAGAUGCAGACGUCUUUGAAGGUUGGUCUGUUCGACCAUUAAAAUUCU